GCGCCCAUAGCUCAACGGUAGAGCAGUGGACUUUUAAUCCAUUGGUUGGAGGUUCGAAUCCUCCUGGGCGCA
rnacentral:tRNA from 1 species